CACCUACUCUCUUCAUUCGGAAAUACUUGUCAUUAAAAUGAACAAAGGGGGUGUAUCUAGACGUAUUUUAGUUUUAUAUACAUCUAUUUUUAUCCAUUUUGAUGACAAAUAUUUUCGGAUGGAGGAAAUACUUU
rfam:Triticum urartu cultivar G1812 contig906580, whole genome shotgun sequence.